AAACAGGAAUUUCAGAGUCCGAUGGGCUUUCCUAGGGUGAGGCUUAUCCAUUGCCAUCCGGAUGUGCUGGCCCCUGCAAUUUCCCCAAAUAUGAGAAACUAAACUGCAUGAUUUUUGGGAGUGGGAGGAUUGCAUUUUUGCUCUUCCCCA
rnacentral:snRNA from 1 species